UUGAUAAAAACUUAAAACACAGCUGCCCAGAAGCACACACACACUCUCUCCAUCUCGCCAGAACCUGCGUCCCUGCCCCUAGAACCUAAGGCCUUUGUUCGUGCUUUAGAGCCAUUAGAAGUUGGUGUUAAAGCCCCUAAGAAGUCAGUAUUUCAAGAUACACCAGUAGUUGGACUAGUUAAGGAGCUUUAAUCAAGGUUUAAGCUAGGAUUUCUAAGUAGUUCCUGAUGAUGCAGGUUUCUAAAGACGUUAUGAUUGUGUCUCUGCUUUUGCUGUCUCAAGUGAUGACUUGUAUAUAUAUGCAGUGUUGCAUGCUCUGUAGUUAUGUUAAAGUGUAGCUUUUGAUCUCAAACUCUUAGCUUUACGCUCGUGAGAUGUCCUUUUAGAGCUAGUUUCUGUAAUCCGACUAAGUUGGUCAAUGCUAUGUAUGUAAAUUAGUAAGUAUAAGGAAUAAGGGUUGUAUAUUAUCAGUUUGGUUGUAUAAAAGUGUUUCUCUAUAUAAGUUCGUUGUUUCUCGCGAUAUCAUCCAAUUUCCAUUAGAUGAUGUCAUGGUAAUGGUCCGA